GACGAAGGAUGCAAGCGUUAUCCGGAUUCAUUGGGUUUAAAGGGAGCGUAGGUGGUCUACUAAGUCAGUGGUGAAAUCUCUCGGCUUAACUGAGAAAUUGCCAUUGAUACUGGUGGACUUGAGUGUAGUUGCCGUUGGCGGAAUAUGACAUGUAGUGGUGAAAUACAUAGAGAUGUCAUAGAACACCGAUUGCGAAGGCAGCUGACGAAACUAUAACUGACACUGAGGCUCGAAAGUGUGGGGAUCAAACAGG
rnacentral:rRNA from 1 species